GGCGCCAUUGCCAAGAGGUCUAAGGCGACGGUUUGCAAAACCGUUAUUCCCCGGUUCGAAUCCGGGUGGCGCCUCCA
rnacentral:tRNA from 1 species